GGUUAUGCGGGGUGCGGGGGCGGGGUAAGAGGGGGGGUGCGAGAUUGCAAUGGAAGUACUGGGGGUAAAGCGUGGGUGGGUGGUUAUUUAAGCGAGGUUGUAAAGCGCGGGGCGCAACCUAGGAAUAGCAUGUCGAACGGGCGAACUAGAGUCGUGUAGAGGGGGGUAGAAUUCCAGGUGUAGCGGUGAAAUGCGUAGAGAGCUGGAGGAAUACCGGUGGCGAAGGCGGCCCCCUGGACAAAGACUGACGCUCAGGCACGAAAGCGUGGGGAGCAAACAGGAUUAGAUACCCCAGUAGUC
rnacentral:rRNA from 1 species